GAGGGCAUAGCUCAAGUGAUAGAGUGCAUGCUUAGCAUGCAUGAGGUCCUGGGUUCAAUCCCCAAUACCUCCU
rnacentral:tRNA from 1 species